rnacentral:rRNA from 1 species
UACGUAGGGGGCAAGCGUUGUCCGGAAUCAUUGGGCGUAAAGAGCGUGUAGGCGGCUUGGUAAGUCCGCUGUGAAAGUCCAGGGCUCAACCCUGGAAUGCCGGUGGAAACUGUCAAGCUCGAGUCCGGAAGAGGCGAGUGGAAUUCCUGGUGUAGCGGUGAAAUGCGCAGAUAUCAGGAGGAACACCAAUGGCGAAGGCAGCUCGCUGGGACGGUACUGACGCUGAGACGCGAAAGCGUGGGGAGCAAACAGG